ensembl:lncRNA
UACAUACGAUGGGGCGAUCGAUAGCGCACAAGACAACUCCCACGUCGAACUGUUUGAAGCCAACGCGUAGCACUUAACUUUCUCGAUAAGGGAAAUUUUCCUAACCCCCGUUCCCUGGCAGAAGUAUCCCUUUUGUUUAUGAGUUCUCCCUAGACUCAAAGUGGUGUGACAUUUACGGGUGCCUGCUUUGAAGAGAGGCCAACUGCUCUCCGUGCUGUAAAAGAGCCACCUGCCUCCCCUCACCUGCCCUUCUGUGAGAGCUUAGAGAAUAAAAACGCCAGAGUUGCAGUGACAGCUAGACCCUGCCUAGUAGCUACUGUACAGCGCAGCAAACCCCCACCCCCAAUUUUGGCUCUUGCAGGAGACAGAAAAGAAGAUAUAAAGAAGGAGAGCUGUUUUCUUUUCAGUAUCUCCCCUCGGCUAAGUCUGGGGCCUUGGAUGUCUGGAAAAUUUGAAAAAAUAAAAUUGCACAACUGCAGAUUACCAGGAGCACUAAGGUCACUGUCAAGCUCUUCAAGGAAUGGCCGAAAUCACCCCUCCUCUCUCCAGUCGCCACAAUCAAAUUUACUCUGGCUUGAGUACACGUUUAGUGGGGACCAUUUGUUUGAGGCAAACACUUAGGGCCCUCGUAUGUCAUUGACCAGUGUCCACAAAUAUAAUCCUAUCAAGUUCAAUCUUAGGAUGUCCUGCGCC